rnacentral:lncRNA from 1 species
CUGAGCAAUAUCAGCAGAGACUCAAAAUUCUGAGUUUAAACCCUAUUUAGUAUCCUUUAUGAGAGCUGCUAGAGUGGGAUCAGUCAAUUGAACCUCCUUUAUUCUCUAGAUUAAUUCAGGUUGGACUGUUAUGUGGGGCAGACAUAUGACCUUUUUCAAAUCUUCGAGUUAUAUCUACUACGUAGCUUUUAUCACCCUACACUUAGAAAUCAUUAUGUGAGAUAACAUACAUGCAUUCUUCCUGAGAGUAUCGGCUACCACAUUGCCCUUGGUCGGGUUAUAUAAAAUAUUACAAUCGUAAUCCUUGAUGAGUU